UCAUAUUGAAAGAGCUUUUGGUGUGCUGAAGAAACGGUUUCAAAUUCUCAAAGUGGGGACCUUCCAUCCAAUUGAUAAUCAAAUUAAAAUUCCUGCAAUAGCGGCUGUCUUUCACAAUAUCAUUAGAGGAUAUAAUGGGGAUGAAGGGUGGUUGGAUCACCAACCAAAUAAUAUCAACCCAGAGGACUAUGUUGACCUGCCAGAUGGGGAUGAAGACUACCCAAAUGAACCAGAAUCGAAUGAUGGAAACACCUUAAGAGACCAAAUUGCUCUUCAGAUGUGGGCUCAGUACAAUAAUUAGUUGAUGCUCAGGGUAGCAGAUCUAGCUUUGGCCAUGGUGGCAGCAUUGCUCCAAGCCAUACCUAGAGGUGGGUGGUUCUCUGUCGGGGUGAAUAACGAUCCGGGGUGAAUAAUGAUCCAGGGUGAAUGAAGCGAUCUGAAGGCUGAAGUGCCAGCAAUCUCUGCAGUCUGAUGCUGCAAUCUAAGAUGGAGAGCAAGACUGGCGAUCCAGGGCGCUUCCGUGUUUAGUUGUUCUGUUCUUCUUUUUUAUGUUCUGUCAGCUUUUGUUUCUUUUGCUGUGAGCCUGUUUUCGAGGGAGUUGUUUACAGGAUGUGCUGCUUCUUAGUUCUGGUGGUUGCGGCCAAGUCUUGCUUGGCUUUCUUGUUUUGAACCUGCAUCCGAAAUAGCAGGUUUUCCUGUGCAUGGUAAUAA